rnacentral:ncRNA from 2 species
GAAUCAUUAGAAGCGCCUGGACUAAAUCCGAUCGGAAGGGAUUUAGUUGACGAGGAGGAGGAGUAUCGAGAGUAAUCGGCGGAUGCCUCCCGGCUGCCACACAGUCGUUAAUCUUUUCUUAAAUCACUUAGGUGACUAAGUGGACAAAGGAAAAAGAUAGGUGGAG